CCUACGGGGGGCUGCAGUGGGGAAUAUUGGACAAUGGGCGAAAGCCUGAUCCAGCCAUGCCGCGUGUGUGAAGAAGGCCUUCGGGUUGUAAAGCACUUUCAGUGGGGAAGAAAGCCUUGGGGCUAAUACCCUCGAGGAAGGACAUCACCCACAGAAGAAGCACCGGCUAACUCCGUGCCAGCAGCCGCGGUAAUACGGAGGGUGCGAGCGUUAAUCGGAAUUACUGGGCGUAAAGCGCGCGUAGGCGGUCUGAUAAGCCGGUUGUGAAAGCCCCGGGCUCAACCUGGGAACGGCAUCCGGAACUGUCAGGCUAGAGUGCAGGAGAGGAAGGUAGAAUCCCCGGUGUAGCGGUGAAAUGCGUAGAGAUCGGGAGGAAUACCAGUGGCGAAGGCGGCCUUCUGGACUGACACUGACGCUGAGGUGCGAAAGCGUGGGUAGCAAACAGGAUUAGAUACCCGAGUAGUC
rnacentral:rRNA from 1 species